GGUGUUGUGGCUCAGUGGUAGAGCAUUUGCCUCACUCACAUGAGGCUCUGGGUUCGAUUCUUAGCACCACAU
rnacentral:tRNA from 1 species